CUGUGAGCUCGAUGAGUAGGGCGGGACACGUGGUAUCCUGUCUGAAUAUGGGGGGACCAUCCUCCAAGGCUAAAUACUCCUGACUGACCGAUAGUGAACCAGUACCGUGAGGGAAAGGCGAAAAGAACCCCGGCGAGGGGAGUGAAAAAGAACCUGAAACCGUGUACGUACAAGCAGUGGGAGCACAGAGCAAUCUGUGUGACUGCGUACCUUUUGUAUAAUGGGUCAGCGACUUAUAUUCUGUAGCAAGGUUAACCGAAUAGGGGAGCCGAAGGGAAACCGAGUCUUAACUGGGCGUUAAGUUGCAGGGUAUAGACCCGAAACCCGGUGAUCUAGCCAUGGGCAGGUUGAAGGUUGGGUAACACUAACUGGAGGACCGAACCGACUAAUGUUGAAAAAUUAGCGGAUGACUUGUGGCUGGGGGUGAAAGGCCAAUCAAACCGGGAGAUAGCUGGUUCUCCCCGAAAGCUAUUUAGGUAGCGCCUCGUGAAUUCAUCUCCGGGGGUAGAGCACUGUUUCGGCAAGGGGGUCAUCCCGACUUACCAACCCGAUGCAAACUGCGAAUACCGGAGAAUGUUAUCACGGGAGACACACGGCGGGUGCUAACGUCCGUCGUGAAGAGGGAAACAACCCAGACCGCCAGCUAAGGUCCCAAAGUCAUGGUUAAGUGGGAAACGAUGUGGGAAGGCCCAGACAGCCAGGAUGUUGGCUUAGAAGCAGCCAUCAUUUAAAGAAAGCGUAAUAGCUCACUGGUCGAGUCGGCCUGCGCGGAAGAUGUAACGGGGCUAAACCAUGCACCGAAGCUGCGGCAGCGAC
rnacentral:rRNA from 1 species